UAUAUAUAAGUGUAAGAAGCACAUAAAGUUUUGAUCUUUAAGGGGUUAGUUUAAUUCUAACAUAUAUAA
rnacentral:tRNA from 1 species